rnacentral:lncRNA from 1 species
CUGCCUUGGCCCUGCCCACAAGGGGCAUUGUGACAUAUUGCUGAGCCCAGUACCUAGGUGAUAUGACUCUCCUGAAUUGCCCCUGCACUCAGGGGAGACUUUUGACCCUGCCCAAAGUGGCAAUUGUGACAUAUCUUUGGCCAGCACCCAGGAGAUCCAAACUUUGUUCCUGGUCUCUCUCCACAGUUGGAAUUGGGAACUACACAUGGGCACAGCUUACAGGUGGAAUGAUGACUCACACCUGAAGAUAUUUUGACCUUUGUAGUCUUAGGGCAAAAACUAAGGUCCUGUGUCUUCAACUUGUAGGAUGGUCACGGAAUAUUACAACUUGCAUGCACGUUGAAUGAAGCCCUCAAAUGCUACAAAGAGUGCCAAAAUAGAGCCCAGCUAAAACUGUGGUAAAACUGUGGCUGUUGUAUGCAAACUCAAAUAAAAGUAAGGAUUAUCAGCCUUCCACAUUAACAGAACCCACUGUUGAGGUUCUGAAUCGCUCACCAAGAGGCAAUCAAGUUGGAAUUGUGACUCUCAUGCAUCAAUCCAAUCGACAGAUGAGAUGAUAACACCAAGUCCAGGAUUUAGAACACCUGGGGGCUGUGCUUCCCCUAUCAAAACACAGUCUGUUGGUGAGAUUUGGGCUCUCGUGCAUUGAUUUAGUCCACUGUUGUGACUGACUUGCAUAGUUGAACUCAAACCCACAAGAGGUGUUGACUCUUAUACCUUUAGCAGGAAAAUGUCCCGGAUUGUGAAUUUCUGCUAUUGACCGGGUCCAGCUGGAUCCAGGUAUGAGAGUCAUCAUCUCACCUGUGAGCUGUGACCAUGUAUAUGUCGCAAUUUCACCUGUCAUCAGGAAGCAGACAUGAGAGUCCUAUCACCUGGGUGCUGGGCCGGAGCACAAUGGUGUGAUCUCGACUCACUGCAACCUCCGCCUCCCGGAUUCAAGCGAUUCUCCUGCCUCAGCCUGCCGAGUAGCUGGGAUUACAGAUGAAAAAAGAUGCAAAGAAGACAUAUUUGCUUUUUAUCCACACAUCAUUUCCAAUCACUAUGCUGAGCAAAGUCAAUGUGAGCAGAGCUGAGAAUAGCAGUUUUCUGGCAGGACGGCCACUUCUGAGCAAAAAAUGACACAAUAAAAGUAUAAAUAUUUAAUAGUAAGCUAAUAUAUUUUCAGCAAAUUAAGCAUAUGCAUUAAUAAAAUUAUUGUGGUAUAAUA